rnacentral:lncRNA from 1 species
UCCUUCCCUCCAACAGCCUGCUUCAUGUCUUCCCACAGCAUGGACUAGAAUGCCCCCACCAACCAGCAGCUGCCCCUUUAACAGAUUUGGAUGGCCUUGAGUAAUAAAUUCUUUUGAAACCUUUAUUAAAACUGCAUUUCUGGUGUGGGUGUGUGUGGUGGUGCCUGGUGUGCAUCGUGGCUCAGGGGUGGGGUGGUAGGGUAGGGUAACUUUUUUUGUUUUUUGUUUUUUUGUUAUCAACAAACAGUUUUCAGAUACAAUAUUGUCUUGGUUGACUUAACUUCAUUCCAGACCAUCUAUUUUUAAAAGAAUUCCUCGCAGCUCCCCACAGUGGAAAGGCACAGGUACCGUGCAGGGAAAACCCCAAGGUCCAAAGUCCUGGGGAUGGGGGAGCCCCAGCCCCGCUCCAGCAGAGACAGCAAAAUCAAUUGUUGAUUAGAAUGAAACCGAAACUCAGUGGUUGAGCAAUUUCUCGGAAAUUACCUGUGGUGACAUUACCUGUUGGUACCUUUCCUGCUGCCCUUUGACUCUCAGAGCCCAGCAGACACAGGACAGGCUGGUGGUGUGGGGUGCUGUGCUCCCACAGUGGGUGUUUGGGGACAGCACCCCCUUUCUCUGUGUAGGGGGGGCAAAAACGGACCCUGCUCACAUUGGGGGCAAUAAUGGGGAGCAUCCACCAAGCCCUGGUCGAGGAAUGGGCCUGGGCAGAGUCUGAGGGUGCCGUGACCCUCCCGUACACAACAGGGACCCUCGCACUCGUCUGCCGUGACCCCACACUCUGGAACCCCUCUGGUACCGCGGCCGGGACCCCCACCUGUGUCCCGUGCAGCCCUUGCUGUGUCUGACCGCCCGAAUGGAGAAUCGAGCUCAGCCCGCUGCCUCCUGCCUGGGCGCGGCUGGGACGGGGCGGCCCCGGGGCGGGCACCGGGACCUUUCCAGUGCACCGGGAACCACGGGGCCGGUCCGGUGCUCCGGGAACUGCGGGACCAUUCCAGUGCACCCGGCACCGUGGGCAGGAGACUCUGCCAAGAUGUCCAAGAUAAAGCCAACUCCAGAGGAGGAGCCCAAGGAGAAGACACUUUUGGAUGAGAAAUCUGGGGAGUACACAACUCCUGGUGAUGAGCCCAAGGAGAGAAAUUCAGAUGAGAAAUCCUGGGAUGAGACAGAUCAUGGUGACAAACCCAAGGAUGGGGAUGGUCCCGAGGAUGGUGCUGGUGGUGGUACUGAGGAUGGUCCUGGAGGUGGUCCUGAGGAUGGUCCUGGUGGUGGUCCUGGAGGUGGUCCUGACAGUGGUCCCAACAAUGGUCCUGACGAUGGUUCCAAAAAUGGGGAUAAUCCAGGUAAAGAUCAUGGGAAGUUUGGGUGAGACAUCAGGGAAAAAAUUCUUCACUGAAAGACUGAUUGGGCACUGACAUUAUCUGCCCAUGGAGGUGGUGGAGUCACCAUCCCUGGACGUGUUUAAAAAGGCACUGGAUGAGGCUCUCAGUGCCAUGGUUAAGUUGCUGAAGGGGUGUGAUGUGACAGGUUGGAUUUGAUCUCAAAGGUCUUUUCCAGCCUAGUUCAUUCUGUGAUUCUUUGUGGCUUCCCAAGGGAAGCCAGACAGAUGUCUGACCCCAAGGUCCCUGCCAGGCAGCCUGGCAGGCACUGGGAAGCCCCAGCAGCCUGGGCACCUCUGAAGAGCUGUAGGAGUGAGAGGUGCCCCGAAAGCAGAAGCGCAUUGCAGGAGGGGCUGCAGUGGUGGUGGGUGUGCAGGUACCUGCUGAGUGCCCUGGGAAUUGCUGUGCUCCAGGAAGGGAUUCCAGCCCUGCUCCCUCUCCCCCUGCACAGGGAAGGGCUGGCAAGGCAGUAGUGAGUUUGUUAUGAACUCUGUUUGAUUGACCUUGUG